rnacentral:rRNA from 1 species
UACGUAGGGUGCAAGCGUUAAUCGGAAUUACUGGGCGUAAAGCGUGCGCAGGCGGUUUUGUAAGACAGGCGUGAAAUCCCCGGGCUUAACCUGGGAAUGGCGCUUGUGACUGCAAAGCUGGAGUGCGGCAGAGGGGGAUGGAAUUCCGCGUGUAGCAGUGAAAUGCGUAGAUAUGCGGAGGAACACCGAUGGCGAAGGCAAUCCCCUGGGCCUGCACUGACGCUCAUGCACGAAAGCGUAGGGAGCAAACAGG